UAGGGAAUCUUCCACAAUGGACGCAAGUCUGAUGGAGCAACGCCGCGUGAGUGAAGAAGGUUUUCGGACCGUAAAGCUCUGUUGUUGGUGAAGAAGGAUAGAGGUAGUAACUGGCCUUUAUUUGACGGUAAUCAACCAGAAAGUCACGGCUAACUACGUGCCAGCAGCCGCGGUAAUACGUAGGUGGCAAGCGUUGUCCGGAUUUAUUGGGCGUAAAGCGAGCGCAGGCGGAAGAAUAAGUCUGAUGUGAAAGCCCUCGGCUUAACCGAGGAAUUGCAUCGGAAACUGUUUUCUGAGUGCAGAAGAGGAGAGUAGAACUCCAUGUGUAGCGGUGGAAUGCGUAGAUAUAUGGAAGAAUACCAGUGGCGAAGGCGGCUCUCUGGUCUGCAAACUGACGCUGAGGCUCGAAAGCAUGGUAGCGAACAGGAUUAGAUACCCUGGUAGUCCAUGCCGUAAACGAUGAGUGCUAAGUGUUGGGAGGCUUCCGCCUCUCAGUGCUGCAGCUAACGCAUUAAGCACUCCGCCAUGGGGAGUACGACCGCAAGGUUGA
rnacentral:rRNA from 1 species